UCUGGUGCCAGCAGCCGCGGUAAUUCCAGCUCCAAUAGCGUAUAUUAAAGUUGUUGUGGUUAAAAAGCUCGUAGUUGAACCUUGGGCCUGGCUGGCCGGUCCGCCUCACCGCGUGUACUGGUCCGGCCGGGCCUUUCCCUCUGUGGAACCCCAUGCCCUUCACUGGGCGUGGCGGGGAAACAGGACUUUUACUUUGAAAAAAUUAGAGUGCUCCAGGCAGGCCUAUGCUCGAAUACAUUAGCAUGGAAUAAUGAAAUAGGACGCGCGGUUCUAUUUUGUUGGUUUCUAGGACCGCCGUAAUGAUUAAUAGGGACAGUCGGGGGCAUCAGUAUUCAAUGGUCAGAGGUGAAAUUCUUGGAUCCAUUGAAGACUAACUACUGCGAAAGCAUUUGUCAAGGAUGUUUUCAUUAAUCAGGAACGAAAGUUAGGGGAUCGAAGACGAUCAGAUACCGUCGUAGUCUUAACCAUAAACUAUGCCGACUAGGGAUCGGACGAUGUUAUUUUUUGACUCGUUCGGCACCUUACGAGAAAUCAAAGUGCUUGGGCUCCAGGGGGAGUAUGGUCGCAAGGCUGAAACUU
rnacentral:rRNA from 1 species